AGGGAGGGGUUGAUGAGCGGCUGGUCGGGGCGGUACAGCUGCAGCAGGUACGCGGGCAUCAUGGAACCGAAGCCGCGCUUGUCCUGCACCUGGCGAGGAUGAAAGUACCAAGUGACUUGUUGCUCUGCUUCAUUUGAAAGUGCCUCUGGCUGGCCCGGGUCGUCAGGAUCCUCCCAGUACCCCCGCUUCACGACGGGCCAGAAGGGCUGAGCCUGGCCCCGCUCGUAGCCCGGAUCAGCGGCCACAACCCCAAGCACCCCCAACGCCAAGAGUCCAGUCAACACAACGCCAACGAGGCUUUCCUGAAGUGUCUGCCAACCCUGUGAUACGCAGCUGCAGCUAUCUCUGGACGCGGGAUAAAGAGAACCGGGCAACCUUAUGGAGGAGGCGUGUCCAAGGGUUAACGAAAUCAAGUGUUGUUUUGUGCAGAAUUCAUCCGUGAAAGUUUUCCUUCAGCGAUAAAAGUCAAUAAGAAGGCUCAGAAACACCUUUGAUACUCGACGGAAAGUGGUCGUGAAGUGUUAUUUUGUGGGCCUGAGAUUGAUAUACCUGCUGCUAGUGGAUGUCUGGCUGUGUCUAGUGGGGCGCCAUACUCCACCACCACCACCAGUACCUUCCCUCCUCCACCAAGCCAGCAAGCUCCACAGUCUUCCUAAAGUGUCCUUGUGGUUUCUGUGUGUUGUGCGCGUGAGUUGCACAGAAUAUUUUCGAGGAUAUCUGGCUGGCUUCAGUGGUGCGCCAUAUUCCAUUGCUACCACCACUACCUUCCCCCCUCCACCAGCAAGUAAUCUGCCUUCCUAAAGUUUCCUUGUGGUUACUGUGUGUUGUGGGCGUGAGUUGAACAGAUUACUUUAGUGGAUAUCUGGCUGUCAAACGGUCCGCAAUACUCCACUCCCACCACCUGAUCUUAUCCUCUCUACCAAGCGAGCCAGCAAAUACUUCGGCCUUCUGGUAACGUUCUCUCUCACCACCAAGUCCAGCAUGUCCAACGACCGCCAGAAGAAUCAACGAGGAACCGUCAACCACCAGCACCAGCAUCAACACCAGCAUCAACACCACCACCACAAUAGUACCAACACUCAGCAGAAGAAGGUUGUCGUUCACCACCACCACCACAACAAACCACAACCACAACAACAGCAGAAGGUUGUCGUUCACCACCACCACCACAACAAACCACCACCACAACAACAGCAGAAGAAGGUUGUCGUUCAUCACCACCACCACGACAAUCAGCCCCAGCUGCAGACCAAAGUGGUUCACCAUCACCACAACAACAAAAAAAAUAACCAGCCACCAACACGCGUCGUUCACCACCACCACCACAACAGCAACAACACCAACACUGCUCAACACACCCACCAGCACACGCACCAGCAUGUCCACCACCACCAGAAAAAGUAAAAUGGUUACCAACACACGCUGCUCAUCAUUGUCGCCACUCACCUAUCUAUGGAUAGGGAUGAGUGGUACUGGUGACAGCUAGCAUUGUGGAUAAUGUGUGUGUCAGUAAAAAUGUAAGACCACUUAAUAAUACUCUGGAGUAUAUUCCAAAUCAAGUUGCUUCCACAAUAGAAAAUGAUUAUCCCGAGAUCGUACAUUAUUAAUUAAUACGUUCCUUUACCGCCUGACACACACACACACACACACUUUAUAAAAUGAAGAUUGAUUGAUUGAUAGUUAUAUAUA